CUGCGGAAGGAUCAUUAAAGAGACGUUGCCCUUCGGGGUCGACCUCCCACCCUAUGUUUAUCAUACCUCUGUUGCUUUGGCAGGCCCGUCCUCGGACCGCCGGCUCCGGCCGGCCCGUGCCUGCCAGGGAACCUAAAACUCUGUUUGUUCAUGCAGUCUGAGUACUAUAUAAUAGUUAAAACUUUCAACAACGGAUCUCUUGGUUCUGGCAUCGAUGAAGAACGCAGCGAAAUGCGAUAAGUAAUGUGAAUUGCAGAAUUCAGUGAAUCAUCGAAUCUUUGAACGCACAUUGCGCCCCCUGGUAUUCCGGGGGGCAUGCCUGUUCGAGCGUCAUUACAACCCUCAAGCUCUGCUUGGUAUUGGGCCCCGCCGGUUCCGGCGGGCCCUAAAGUCAGUGGCGGUGCCAUCCGGCUCCGAGCGUAGUAAUUCUUCUCGCUCUGGAGACCCGGCUGUGUGCUUGCCAGCAACCCCCAAUUUUUUAAGGUUGACCUCGGAUCAGGUAGGGAUACCCGCUGAACUUAAGCAUAUCAAUAAGCCGAGAAGAAAUUCAAGAGACGUUGCCCUUCGGGGUCGACAUCCACCCUAUGUUUAUCAUACCUCUUUAGCCUUUGGAGGGCCCGUCCUCGGAACCGCACGGCUCCGGCCGGCCCCGUGCCUGCCAGGGGAACCUAAAAACUC
rnacentral:rRNA from 1 species